rnacentral:rRNA from 1 species
UACGUAGGGCGCAAGCGUUGUCCGGAAUCAUUGGGCGUAAAGAGCUCGUAGGUGGUCUGUUACGUCUUCUGUGAAAUCCUAGGGCUUAACCCUGGGCCUGCAGUGGAUACGGGCAGACUAGAGGUAGGUAGGGGAGACUGGAAUUCCUGGUGUAGCGGUGGAAUGCGCAGAUAUCAGGAGGAACACCGAUGGCGAAGGCAGGUCUCUGGGCCGUUACUGACGCUGAGGAGCGAAAGCAUGGGGAGCGAACAGG